CAGGUUUUUGAUUGGAUAAUGAGCCUCUUUCAGAGAGAAUUACAUCAUAAUGCAUCAUACAUAGUUGCCUGGAUGAAUUAUGGGAACAAGAUGCCCCACUUGUUAUCAUGUUGUGUGGAUUAAAACAAACUUAUCACCCAUGGUGUUUAUAAAGCUUAGCCA